UCGCAAGACCAAAGAGGGGGACCUCGGGCCUCUUGCCAUCGGAUGUGCCCAGAUGGGAUUAGCUUGUUGGUGGGGUAACGGCUCACCAAGGCGACGAUCCCUAGCUGGUCUGAGAGGAUGACCAGCCACACUGGAACUGAGACACGGUCCAGACUCCUACGGGAGGCAGCAUG
rnacentral:rRNA from 1 species